AUGCCGCCUGCCCUCUUUCCCCAUCCUAACCUUGGUCUGCCAGUCUCCUCCGAUCCCAUUCCGUCCCAGCGAAGCAAAAAAGUUAAAAGGCACAACGCCAUUUGAGCUUUGCUGAUGUUGAACGUGGCAAUAGUCGCUGUAUCUAUAUACCUUGGUGAUAGUAUUCUUAGAUGCAUUUGCUUCUACACACUGCAGGAAAUUGAGAGUGAGGAUGAGGAGCAUGAUGAUGAGGCUGAGGAUGAAUCUGAACAUGAAGUGGAAACUGCGGAUCCUGAUGUCGCUGCAGCGGCACCUAAAGAGACAGAAAGGCAGCUGUCUAAAAAGGAGUUGAAAAAGAAGGAACUGGCUGAAAUUGAUUAUGUGUUAGCUGAGUUGGGGAUUUCUGAAAAUGAGGCUGAUGCUGAACAAGAUGCUGAGAAGAAAGGUGCGAAUCAAACCGGUGAUGGAGAGAGAAAGGAAGACGCGCCUGCCCCUUCAGGGAGUAAGAAUGCCAAGAAGAAGAAAAACAAGGACAAGAACACAAAGGAGGCAAAGGAAGCUAAAGUGUCGGAGGAGGCUGCCAGUGCAGAGCCCGAGGAAGACACAGCCGUGGGUGUCAAGGAGCGCCUAAAGAAGAUGGUCUUCAUGAAGAAGAAGUCGGGCAAGGAGACGGACACAGCUGCAAAGAUGACCGCCGCAGAGUUGGCAGCUAGGAGGACCGCCAGGCUCACUGCGGCAAAGAAGCCCGACAGACAGCCAGACAGGGCCUGCAGCCAGAGGGAGAAGCCCGAUGGGAAUUGGAUCCCCAAGAGAAGGAGCACCAUCAAAGCGAUCAUCACGGCCAUGAUUGGCAUACACACCAAGAAGAGCCCCAGCACCGCCACAAGUUCUGGCGGCAGGGGCGACAGCGAUGGUUCCUAA
rnacentral:rRNA from 1 species